GCAGGUGUAGUUUAAUGGUAAAACAUCUGCUUGCCAUGCAGAUGAUGGGGGUUCGAUUCCCCUCGCUUGCUCCA
rnacentral:tRNA from 1 species